UACAGAGGUCCCGAGCGUUGUUCGGAUUCACUGGGCGUAAAGGGUGCGUAGGUGGUGGGGUAAGUCUCGUGUGAAAGCUCGCAGCUUAACUGCGAAAAGUCACGGGAUACUAUUCCGCUGGAGGCUUGGAGGGGGAGCUGGAAUACUUGGUGUAGCAGUGAAAUGCGUAGAUAUCAAGUGGAACACCAGUGGCGAAGGCGAGUCCCUGGACAAGACCUGACACUGAGGCACGAAAGCCAGGGGAGCAAACAGG
rnacentral:rRNA from 1 species